rnacentral:lncRNA from 1 species
UUUUUUUUUAAUUUUUUUGUAUUGUAGAUGGACAGAAUGCUUUUAUUUUAUUUGUUAACUUUUAUGUGGUGCUGAGGAUCGAACCCAGUGCCUCACACAUGCUAGGCAAGUGCUUUGCCACUGAGCUACAGCCCCAGCCCUCCCUUUGCUCUUGAUCUCUACCAUCACUGAAGUAUAAAGAGCUCAGUCCCAUAGAUGGCCUCCCAUGCCUCUCAGGACAGUGGUUUUGAAACUGUUCUCCCCAGAGCUCCUUUAGGGCUGGCUGCAAGUGGAAUUAUCUCAGUGGACAGUGAGAUACUAAAACUAGUGCUCUCCCUGCCCUCUCCACUCAGCCCCUGAACUUGGACUUCCACUAGUUUCUGUGGCCAGAGUUCUUAAGGGCACUGCCUUUAUAAAGAGAGCCUGAGAACCCCUGCUUG